rnacentral:rRNA from 1 species
UACAGAGGUCUCAAGCGUUGUUCGGAUUCAUUGGGCGUAAAGGGUGCGUAGGCGGCGCGGUAAGUCGGGUGUGAAAUCUCGGAGCUUAACUCCGAAACUGCAUUCGAUACUGCCGUGCUUGAGGACUGGAGAGGAGACUGGAAUUUACGGUGUAGCGGUGAAAUGCGUAGAUAUCGUAAGGAAGACCAGUGGCGAAGGCGGGUCUCUGGACAGUUCCUGACGCUGAGGAGCGAAAGCGUGGGGAGCGAACAGG